AAGCAGUUGGUAUCAACUCAGAGUACCUGGAGAGAUAUUACAGAUAACUGUUAUGAUCACAUUUAAUGUUCAACGUCAAUGUCUAUGGUCUACGAUCUAUCUUACAAUGGUUAAACUACUUCUAUUUAU